rnacentral:rRNA from 1 species
UACGUAGGAGGCGAGCGUUGUCCGGAAUUAUUGGGCGUAAAGCGCGCGCAGGCGGUUUCUUAAGUCUGAUGUGAAAGCCCACGGCUCAACCGUGGAGGGUCAUUGGAAACUGGGGAACUUGAGUGCAGAAGAGAAAAGCGGAAUUCCACGUGUAGCGGUGAAAUGCGUAGAGAUGUGGAGGAACACCAGUGGCGAAGGCGGCUUUUUGGUCUGUAACUGACGCUGAGGCGCGAAAGCGUGGGGAGCAAACAGG